GCCACCGCUUCACCUUCCCCCUCCACCCUCCCGCCCCCCGCUCCCGUCCUGGGAAGCCCUGGAAGUGCCAACCCCAAGAAAGCCCCUGGUGCCACCUUGACCUUGGUGCCUCUCAUAGGUUUCUGGGCGUUUUUAAUCGGCCUCUGAGAUUUACCGUCUAGCCUUUCUUACCGCCGCUGCUUAGCCUCCUUCCUCCUCGGGAAGAAGGGGAAAAGGAUGCCCACGGUCCCAGGAAGCCUCCUGGGGACCUAGGUGUGUUCUGCUGCCCAGGCUAUCCUAUCGGAGCUGCUGUGCUAUGGUCUGAACUGUGGCCCCUCCCCAAUCCAUGUUAAAGCCCUAACCCCCCCCCAUGUGAUGGUAUUUGGAGAUAAUAGAUUUCUAUGAGGUCAGAGGGUAGUUCCCUUGGGACCUUAUAAAAACAAAAAAAGACACCAGAGAGCUUGCUGUCUGUUCCUCCCCCCGCCUCUCCUCCCUUCAACUCCCCUCUCCCCCACCACCAUGUGAAGACACAGUGAGCAGAUGGCAGUCUGUACAGGCCAGAAGGAAAGCUCUCCAUGGAAGCCAACCAUGCUGGCACCUUUAUCUUGGACUUCUAGUCUCUAGAACUGUGAGAAAAUAAAUUUCUGUGUAAGCAACCCACUCAGUGAUAUUUUGUUAUGGCAACCCAAGCUGACUAAGACAGAUUUUGGUACCAGAACCGGGGUGCUAUUGUAACAAAUGCCGAAACAUGUGGAAGCGGCUUUAUAUCUGGGUAAUGGGAGGAGGAUAGAAGAGACUUGGGGUGCCUGCUUGAAAUGUAGACCCUAAGGGCGGUUCUGGUGAGAUGUGUGACAGAAAUGAGGAACAAACAUGUCAUUGGAAACUGCAGGAAAGGAAAUCCUUGUUAAAAUGGCAAAGAACUUGGCUGAACUGUGUUCUAGUGUUGUGUGGAAGGAAGAAUUGUGAACAAUGAGAUUAGAUACCAGCUGAGGAGAUUUCUAAGCAAAGUGUUCAUGGAGCAGCUUGGUUCCUCUUGACUGCAAAAGGAGAGAGAGGAAUUGAAGAAGGAAUUGUUAAGAAAAAGGAACCAGUGUAAAACUUCAGACAAUAAAAAAAUAGAAAAUAAUAAAAGGUAAAUGAUUCAGGGAAAAGAAAAAGGAACCAGAAUUUGAAGACUUGAAAAUUCCCAGCCUAUCCGCAUUGCAAAAUAUAAGAAAGCUUCUGAGAAGAACAGGGUGUAGCUGAACAACCACUUGAUUACAAAUUAGUGGGAUUAUCUGAGCAGAAACACUGCCACUUUGGACUGAAGGAGCUAGAGAUGGUGCAAAAUGAAGAAAGGUUGUUGGACUUCCUGGAUUUGACAGGAUGGGAUGAUGGAGCUAUGUGGCUGUAAACUUGCAUUAUUCUCCAGAAAGAGGGAGAAAUGAUCCCAAAGGCGAUUCAGGGGUCAUCAGGGUGACUGCCUCUGUUUCAACAAGCCUUAGGCAUCUGCUGGGACCCCUGGGAGCGGGACUCCGCAAAGCCAAAGCAGUGGGGCCAUCCCCAGAGUCACGGGGGUGAUGCUGCCACCCCAUUGGGUCUGAAAGAUGGGGAUGUUGAGCCAAAAAGGAUUAUUUUUGAGCCUUAAGAUCUAAAGGAAUUUGUAUUGCUGGGUUUUAGACUUCCUUGUGUCCCAUCACCCAGUUCUUUAUUCCAGUUUCUCCCUUUUGUAAUGGGAAUGUCUAUCCAAAUGCCUGCCCACCCUUGUAUUUUGAAAGCACAUAGCUUAUCUGGUUUCACAGGUUCACAUCCAGAGAGGGAUUUUGCCUCAAGAUGAAUUAUAGCUUGAGUCUUACCAUAUCUGGUGUAGAUAUUUAGAUUGAGACU